CGGGACGGGUGAGUAAUGUCUGGGAAACUGCCUGAUGGAGGGGGGUAACUACUGGAAACGGUAGCUAAUACCGCAUAACGUCGCAAGACCAAAGAGGGGGACCUUCGGGCCUCUUGCCAUCGGAUGUGCCCAGAUGGGAUAGCUAGUAGGUGGGGUAACGGCUCACCUAGGCGACGAUCCCUAGCUGGUCUGAGAGGAUGACCAGCCACACUGGAACUGAGACACGGUCCAG
rnacentral:rRNA from 1 species